rnacentral:lncRNA from 1 species
UCUUGAGAGAUCUGAUGGUUUUGAAAAACAGGAGUCUCCCUGCACAAGCUUUCCUUUUGCCUGCUGCCAUCCAUGUAAGGCAUGAUUUGCUGCCUUCCACCAUGAUUGUGAGGCCUCCCCAGACAUGUGCAACUGGGAUUGAUGUGAGCAUUAAAAUUUGAGAAGCGAUCCCUAGGCUGGAGCUCUUCCUCCCUGGCCCAGAUGGACAGAGUCACCCACUGCUUUGGGGGAAAGAAGAAAACAAAGCAGGAAGAGGGAUGCAAAUUCCUGACUACCGAGUUUUUAAAAAUCCACUUGCUUAAAUUUAAGGCAGAAAUCAUAGUGCAUAUACCUGCAGAACACAUUUUUUCUCUGCUGUCAGAUAAAUUAAGACUCCACCCCUGAAGGAGAGAGGAAGAAGAGGGACCAUGGAGACAGGAGCUAAGUGAGAUCAAGAGGCUCCAGGUCUUGGGAGUGAUGCCAUUCAUCCCAGUGCCACAUGGCUGCCCAGUUUGUGCCCAGUUGUCCUCCUCAUGGCCAUCUGCUAGGGCACACUCAUGGUCAUGUUGCCAGCCAAUCAGACAGAAGGACUGAGGCUCUUCUGCAGCCAGAGAAUUUGCUUUAGCCACUGUCUGACCAUGCAGACCCAUGUGGGCCACAGCACCCCCGGAAUAGAGUAUGGGGCCCUAGAUACCUUCAGAGGUAAUGUGACCAAGAGGAAAAGCUCCGUUAGGAACAAGACCUCACCAUGUCAAAGACAUCCAGCGACGCAUUCUACACUUUUGAUUUGGUUUCCCCCUUGCAUGUCCCAUUAUGUGAAGAGAAGGCUCUGGAACUUCCAACUUCAUCCUUCAUGGGAAAAAAUGGAAAUAAUGAAGGUGACUUAAUAGCAUAAUGGCUUGUCACAGCUGGGAAUGAC